AAACCACAGUGGAUUCUGAUACUUCUGUCUUUAAAAAAUCCUAGUUAACCUCAAAUAUGUUGCCUUUAUCUCCUUAGAACAGAAGAGAAAUCCGAAGACCUUAAAGCUAACCAGUACUCAUUGGUAUUUCAGGAGGCUGACAACAGAAUGUUUCUGUUGGUAGGGAAUGACAACUAUCAACUGAUUUCCAAAGAGAAAAUGAAGAAUAAGGGAAUAAGGGAAAACUACCCAAAGUCAACAUGAGACAUGCCAUCCUUCUCCAAAGAAGACAUACAGAUGGCCAACAGUUAUAUGAAAAGAUGCUCAACAUCACUAAUCAUCAGGAAAAUGCAAAUCAAAACCAUGGUGAGAUCCAGCCAAGGCUACAAACCUGGGAAGUCCUCAGCCAGCUCCUGAGCAUGGAUGGAUUCUAGGGCCUGGCCAUCUUGACAGGACGUGUCUGAUCAGCAGUCUUGUACCCACAGUUUCUAUGGGGUUGGUUGAGUUUGUCUAAAGCCCUCCUGCCCUCCCUGCCUUCCUUUCAGAAGGGUCAGAUGUGCACUGUUCUAAUGGCUUUCCUGCCCAAUCCUGCCUCCUUCUGUCUCCCACAGUAAUCACCCUUCUCUCCCAGUAAACCUCUUCACUUUAAACUCCAUUUUCAUGUCUGUUUACAAGUGACACAGUUCCUUGAAUUGUUACCCUUUUCUUCCUCUCUGUGAUUGCCUUUUUUCUUUUUUUUUUUUGUCUCAUAUCUUUCUUGGGAGAGAUUUUUCGAUUAUCUGGAAGCUGAAUCCUACAUAUAUUCUACAUUCAACUUACUGAAGUCUACUUUGCUGAAGUCUGUAUUACCAAGAAUUCUAAGAUGAUAGAUCUAUGUUCUCAACUUCUGAAGUCUUUUUCCAUUUUGGUAAUAGUCAAAAAUUUUAAAUGUAACCUAAAUCAAAGAAUUCUAGAGUUGUAGCCACCUUGGCCAACCCUAUUCUUUUAUAGAUACUAUGAUUUAGCUGAGGGCCAAAAUAGUUAAGUGAUUCAUCUCAAACUGCAAGAACUAUAAAAUUAAUUUCCUUCGUAAGUUAAUUGCCUCAAAAGAAUCUCUUCACUUUCAUGUCAUUUCUAAUCAGAAAGUAUCAGAUCCUAGCCCUACACUACUCAUUUACUCAUCUUAUUAAAUUACUUCCUAAUGGAUUUAACUAAGAUUAUUUUACUCAUCUGAGGUUUGAUAGAUUAGCUCUCUAUAUAUGAGUACCUUCUCCUUGAGGGUAUAUAUUCCAUUUAUUCUAGACAAAGCUCUUUGUCAAUGGCUAGAUUAGCAAGAAACAAGAUGGUCAUGGAAAGCCCAGUCAUACGUAUUUAUCUUUUAUCUUAUUAGGCUAGGCCAGCAAGUUAAUAUACAGAGCAGUAUCAAAAGAUAUAAAAGUGUUAAUUAAUGAUAAAAAUGAAUUUAGAUAAUCUAUGGAAUGUUUUCUGAAAGUAUCCUUUUUUCCCUUGUUCCAUCCAUAGCACCACCCACCCCCCAUCUUCAUUCAAAUGGCUACCUGUGAUUGUCCAUUAUUCGAUCAACAAUUAACCCCAGGGAACAGAAUCUAGAAUUUCCUAGGAAGUCAUUAUUAGCCUCCUUUCCUGCAGACAUUGUGGUGCAUCUUGGGAAGAGAAACUCAAAUUAGUUACCAAAAGGUAAGAUAGAACUGGGGGGGUGCCUACUCAGACUUGGGUAGGAGGCAAGGAGGGUGGCAGUUUAUAACAAUUAUACUUCACAGUCUUGAAAGGAUUAAACACAUACACACCCAGUUAAUUUGUCCCCAGGAGGCAUGCAAGCAAUUUUCUUCCUCUAAAUAAUUCUGUCAAAUGUAUCCAUGUUUUCAUUAACUGCUGAAAUAAUUUUUUCUAUUCAUUGUAGAGCUAUACUGUACUUUUUUUGUGUUAAUAAGUAUUUAUCCUCUUACCUUAUACUAUUACAAUCAUUAACUGCAGUGUGUAAAUGUACUGUUAUUACUGUCUAACUUCUGUGGAAAAAAGCACAAUAAGACAGUGAAGGUGAAAAAAACAUUAAAUAAAAAGCAUGCAGCCAGUUUCCUGCCAAGUAGCAGGGCACUGAAUUCAUGACAUUUAGUUUCUGUGCCCAACAGCUAUGUCCUGUGGUUUUAUUGAAAUAGAAUACUGAUCAGCCCAGGGAACAUAAUAUUCUUGAGAACUGCACAUCUUGGAAUUGAAGAAAAUGAGAAAUUGGAGGGAAAAUAUCC